UGGCGAUGAUGUUCGAACUAAGGCUUGUUUCUCAAAACAUUUGCAGAUGCCGCCUAAGAGCUUUCGCCUUGCGCUUGAGAGCUAAUGCUGCUAAUUCCUUCCUUGGGAUGUCUGAGCCG
rfam:Triticum aestivum genome assembly, contig: Triticum_aestivum_CS42_TGACv1_scaffold_224564_3B